rnacentral:lncRNA from 1 species
CUUAUAAUGUAUUAAAUUCUAAACAAUAUUUUAAAAUGAUAUUUAUCUCACAAAGUGAGGAACAUCAAAUUCACAAUGUAGACCAAAUGAGAGAUCCAUUUAAGCUUGUGGAUAUUGUAAAUUGCCACCCCUUGGGAAAAGAACAACAUCCUGAAUGCUUUGGAACCUAUAAUUAGGUUAAAUUACCCCCAAGAAAUAAAACUUUCUCUUUACAUCUGCUUGAAUAUUGAAUACCCGUAAGAUGUCCUUGGAUUCUUAAUUUAAGGGAUAAUUUCAUCUUGACAACAUAUUGUAUUUUACACUUCAUACAGGUGAGGAGAUAGCUCACAUGCAUAUUUCCUCCCUGUAACAGUAGAACAAAAAUGUUUUGAUUGGGGAGGAGACAAACUCCUGAAGCGAAUGGUCGCAGAUCUCUGGAGCUCCUGAUAUCUGGGGCUUACAAUAGUAUUUUCCCAAGGCCACUGCUAUCCAAAAAGCGGAGAGCAACGGACAGAAGAUCCGUGGCAUCACGGAAGAGGUGCCGAAAGCCGAAUUGCUGCACCUCAUACGCAGGCUGCUGACGGCGCUCCUCCCGACAAGACAGGCUAAAAUAAUAGGCCUGGUUGGUUUCUUCCGGGCCCCAAAGCCAGCCAGAGCUCCACCAACAGUUUCCCGGGACCUCAUAAUAAGGUUUCAGCAAAACAAAGAUAAGGCAGCGGUACUAGCUGCAGUCAGAGACUGCACCCCACACCCAUUUGAAUCAAUGACUCUCUCCUUCUACAUGGACCUCUCGGGAGGCACCUUGGCAUGGCUACGGUCCCUUCAGCCAAUCACCUUGCUCCUCAGACAACAUGCGAUUCAAUACCGUUGGCGCCCAACACAACCCCUGCUAAUCCUAAAGGGGGAAGAUAAGCAUGAGAUAUUCAACCUACAAGGUGCACAGGACGUACUGGCCACUUUGGGACUACCACAACAACCCCCAUGACCCCCUGGGCCACAAGGCAUCGGGAGACCAACACAGAGCUGGGACCUUGAGAGAGUGACGACAUUUGUUCCGCGACAACCCAAGCGGGGUCCCCACGCAGCAACUGCCACCUGAGAUCGUCAUGAAGCUCUGGAGCUCCAAUACUAUACUGACAGCUGUUUUCCUUUCUUCCCAGUUGAUAACUGUUCCUGUUUAUUGAUGUCCCUCAAGACAUAUAGCUCGAAUGCAAAAGCAUAAACACAUACACAUAUACAUGGCUUAACUCAUCCCCCUGGGCCACGACCGUUCGGUUCAAACCCCACAAACGCAACGCACCGCCUUACCACAUUCCUCCCCCCCUCCCCCUGCCUGAUUUCAGUUUAAACUGAACGCCAUACUUAACGACGGUGAGGCCAGGUGGUAAACACUUAAUCUAGAGGUACAAUUCCAUUCACUAAGCGUCUGCUACACUUAUCUUAACAUGGUCAAUAGAUAAGCCUAUACACUGUCUUAUUCACACGAGCUGACCUACACCACUCUACUGUUUAAUCGUAUUAAAUUUUUUUUUAAAAAUUUGCACAGUUCCUUAAUGCCAAUUGUAUUUAUAUGUAAGCGGAAACCCUGGCAUUAGCUGUUGUGGCAUUGCUGGCGUACAUGUAACCUGUACAAUCCAUGCAUGACAAAAUAAAGAAUUCAAAAAAUAAAAUAAAAUACUUUGAUCUCCAUAUAACUACAUGACACACAUGGCCUACUUUCAAACCUUUAAAGACCCUUAGUAGCAAGCCAUGUGACCAUUUCAUUUGUUUCACUCCUAAAUAAGCUAGGGGACAACAGAGAUCCCACAGUCUUAGGUCUUCUAGCUACAAAUCUGUAUCCAUUCGAGUUCUUACAAACUAGAUCUUCCAAUCUAGCAUCAUUCAACAAUAGGUAAAAGUCUCAAGAUAAUC